AAAGAAAGGUACAUUACAGCCAGCAGAACCUCAAGCUCAAACGGGAUCGAUGGUGUCAUGACUUUCCAAAUAAUUUCAUCUCUUAUUCAAACAUUUUUUUGAUAAAAUACAUUUUUAUCCAAGGAAGAUGAUAGCCAAAGGAGAAUAAGACACUGUGAGAAGAAUCUAGGAAAUAUAUGCAUAGAAAAAUAGGCAACAAAAAUGAUAAAAAGUGUAAUAAUGCAGCCCAAUCGCUCGGAAAAUCUAAGACAGCAAACCUUCUAAAUCAAAUCAUCACCAACACCCCACAUGGAGCACAUGAAUACUAUCCUUUUAGACAAUGCCUCCAAAGACAAUGAAAAAACAUUAAAUUUCAAACAUCACAGAGUCUCUUUUAUUCCUUCCAAGCCAUGUAAACAUAUUAGUAGAGUGAGCGCCAAUGUUUGGGGAGAAGUCCAACGUCUUCGGUUAAGCUUGACCCCUUAGAUCAAGAAAAAAUUCAACAUGGAUAGCAGAAACGAAAAUUUAUAAUAAAAAUUGACUUGAAAAUUAAUUCAAACGGGAUUAGUCACCAACAAAAUUUUGCUUAUACUGGAAAAAAGAGAAAAAUUUUGGAAUAAAGAACUCCUAGGAAGGUUGAAAGUGUUAGCAGAAAUACAGCCAUGCAAAGUGCUGCAAUUAUCACUAUCAAACAAUAAGCAAACAGCUGUUUGAAAAAUUAGCAU